rnacentral:siRNA from 1 species
GUCGGCUGUCAGCGGACU